GUUUUCUCCUCUUCUUUCUCUCUCUUCUCUAUGAUUCUCUCUCUAUUCUCUCAACCAUCUCUACCUUUGGCCACCCUAUGUUCUUCACCACCACUGUCCAAACCACCGUCUUCUUCAAUAUUCCGGUUGAACUUCAACUAGAAAAUUCAAACACUCAAACACCUUAUCCCUAGAACCUUCAAACCAAGCCCCAAAACCUUCAUAACCCCACGAACCCUAACGAACCCCAUGAACCCUCACUAAGUUCAGAUGAAGCCUAAAUGGGUUCGGAUGAAUCCUAACCCUUUCCAAAUGAACCUUAGGGUUCCUUACAUGAACCCUAACCCUAAAAAUUACCCAAAAACCCCCAAACCCACAUCAAAACAUGGAUUGAACAUUAACCCCAACAAAUCCCAAAAUAUAUCACAAAAUCGAACCCCAAUCAAUAAAGAAAACACGGCUAACAAGCAUAAAUGUCAAAGCAACAUUUAAAGAGGAAAAUAACCAACCUUCGGAGACGCGACUUUCUCAGGUCCUAAUAGAGUGGAGGUCAAGCUCGCGUACAAUUAGGGUUUGAUGAUAACCUUAAUCAACCGGAUUUCAAAGCUCUUUCGAGGGUUAGAGAUUUCUGCUGCUAUCGAUUUCGGGGUCCCCUCUUAUGAUUUAGGUUCCGAUUUUUAUAGAAUUAGGAUUUAGGUUUUAGUUUUAAUUUUGAUUUGUAGUUUUAGGAAGUUUUCAAUUGAUUGAUUAGGAUUCAGAUUUUAAUUUUAAUUAAGUUUGAUUUUGUUUAGAAAUAGGCUUAGGGUUUGAGAUUUGGUUAUAUCGGGACUGAUUUUGUUUGUAAAUUACUAAUUUAAAUGUAUUUGUGUUCAAUAAUAGAAAGAAUGGAUUGGAUUUCGAA